rnacentral:rRNA from 1 species
UACGGAGGGUGCAAGCGUUGUCCGGAAUCACUGGGCGUAAAGGGCGCGUAGGCGGCUCAUGAAGGCUGUGGUGAAAGUCCGGGGCUCAACCUCGGAUCGGCCGUGGCGACUCGUGGGCUGGAGCACUGUAGAGGCGGGUGGAAUUCCGGGUGUAGUGGUGGAAUGCGUAGAGAUCCGGAAGAACACCAGUGGCGAAGGCGGCCCGCUGGGCCAGUGGCUGACGCUGAGGCGCGACAGCGUGGGGAGCAA